rnacentral:rRNA from 1 species
GAUGAACGCUGGCGGCGUGCCUAAUACAUGCCAGUCGAGCGAACAGACGAGGAGCUUGCUUCUCUGACGUUAGCGGCGGACGGGUGAGUAACACGUGGAUAACCUACCUAUAAGACUGGGAUAACUUCGGGAAACCGGAGCUAAUACCGGAUAAUAUAUUGAACCGCAUAGUUCAAUAGUGAAAGACGGUUUUGCUGUCACUUAUAGAUGGAUCCGCGCCGCAUUAGCUAGUUGGUAAGGUAACGGCUUACCAAGGCAACGAUGCGUAGCCGACCUGAGAGGGUGAUCGGCCACACUGGAACUGAGACACGGUCCAGACUCCUACGGGAGGCAGCAGUAGGGAAUCUUCCGCAAUGGGCGAAAGCCUGACGGAGCAACGCCGCGUGAGUGAUGAAGGUCUUCGGAUCGUAAAACUCUGUUAUUAGGGAAGAACAAAUGUGUAAGUAACUAUGCACGUCUUGACGGUACCUAAUCAGAAAGCCACGGCUAACUACGUG